rnacentral:miRNA from 1 species
UAUCCGUUGUUCCCUUUUCCUACC